GUCUAAUCUCUAUGUUUAGAGGAGACAAGACGGUUAAACCGAGGAGUCGUCCUCCUUCGUUUGUUGGGAUUGCCCGGAGCAGGACUAGUGUCUGUAUUUUUGUUACGCGCUUUGCACGGUACUGACGGUGCACAGAGUAGCCAUUAUUGCGGCAACAAGUGGACUUCUCUCCUUCACCUGAACUCUACAAGGAACCGGAGCCUUGGUACCAGCAGAGGCCCCUUGAGCCCAUCCACCUCCUUGGAGUCCAGAGGAAUUUGGCCACUGUAUAAUCUACUCAAACAAGACCAACCUGAACCUCUUUGCUGGAACGCAGAACAUUCUGAAGCCAUGGAGACUUUGAAAAACUUCUGGCCAAGGCACCAGCCCUGGGCAUACCCUUCCUCUUCUUUGUUCACAAAAACAAGGGGGCUGCAUUAGGAGUACUAACCCAGCAACAUGGUGGUUAUUACUGGCCAAUAGGAUAUCAUAGCCAGCAGCUAGAUUCGAUAACCAGGGACCUCCCCCCUCACCUCCAGGCUAUCACAGAGACAGCUGUGAGCUGUGCUGUGUCAGGCCACAGAUGUGAUAGUCAUGAGUCACCUUCUUUCAGUCUUUGUUCCUCACUCUGUAGAAGCCUUACUAAACUCUCUUCACACACACUAUUCUGCAAGUCGAUUAACCUCCCAUGAGAUUGUCUUACUCUCACCGUCACAGAUUUAGCAAGCUUAAUCCAGCCACCUGUGAAGAGGUGGGAAUAAUAGAAGAUGAGAAGACCCUAUGAAGCUUCAAUUAACUAAUUAAUCCAGAAAAAAAUAAACGAGUGAACUUUAACAUAGCUUUUAAUGAAUUAACAAUUUUUAAAGUAACUAUCCUCCAAUAAAAGUUAACUGAGGAGGGAGAAGGAGGGGAGGAGGUGGGGGAGGAGAAGGAGGAUGAGUAGCAGGUGGAGGAUACUUGCAGGUAGAAAGGUACAAACUGGCCAGUGAAGUGGUUACUGCCAAAUGCUACUCCCUCACAGCCCCAGGGCUCUGCAAAGUCCCAGCACCAUGACACAAUGGGACUUGUGUGUGCGGCAGGCAAAACCAAGAAGUGAAAAGUCUGGGACGGAAAAGGAUCUUGGGAAGGAGUGCAUUGUCCAGGAAUCGAACCCAGGUCUCCCUCGUGGGAGGUGAGAAUUCUACCAUUGAACCACCAAUGCCCGUUCCUGCCCAUGCCUCUGACUGCUCUCCAGAAAGAAUCUCCAGAGCGACCAAGAGACCCGCGGCUGGGAAACAAAGAGGUUCCAAAAUUGGCUUACACCCCUGUCUUUGGAAGAGAGAUCACAGAUUGACAUGCACUCAAAACAGAGGCUUGAGAAGAAGGCCUACAAUUGGGCAACAGCAUCAAGUGGGAACAUUCAAAUGAAAAUAAAAUAUCGGCUUCGUCAGCUCACACUACAACUCUGAGAAAGGCCCUUUCUAACCAUACAACAGAUCCCUGCAGAAAACACAUCGGAAAUUCAUCCAGAUCUCUUGUUUAUGACCCUAUACCUUCAACUGUCAACCUCAAACUCUUACCUUAGAUAGUCUGAGAAAAUAAUCCAACUUGCUAGGUUAAGCAAGUGAAAUUCUAAUCUAGGCAAGAAAUAAACAGAAGCAGAAUUAGACUGGAAUUAGAAGAAGGAAAGUGCCAGAAUCAAAAUAGAGAUAAUGAAGAAACAAAAAACAAAAAAAAUUAUAUGAAAAAAAAGGAUUUCCCUGGUGACACAGUGGUUAAGAAUCUGCCUGCCAAUGCAGAGGACACAGGUUUGAGCCCUGGUCCAGGAAGAUCCCACAUGCUGCAGAGCAACAAAGCCUGUGCGCCACAGCUACUGAGCCUGCACUCUAGAGCCCGCAAGCCACAACUAUAAGCCAUCCUGCCACAACUACUGAAGCCCGUGCACCUAGAGCCUGUGCUCCACAGCAAGAGAAGCCACCACAAUGAGAAGCCUGUGCACCACAAGGAAGAGUAGCACCCAUUCGUUGCAACUAGAGAAAGCCUACAUGCAGCAACGAAGACCCAACACAGCCAAUAAAUAAAUUAGAAAAAAAAAAAGUGAGCAGAAAAGAAAAAAAAACAAUUUUGGUUGUGGUGACUUUAGAGAAUAAAAUCACCUCUGAGUGAUUAAAGUUUAGACUAACUAGUCGAAAUGCUUUAUCACCUGCUGUUAUAAAACCCUGAUCAACGGAACAAGUUUUACCAAGCAUAACAGUGUAAUCGUAUUCUAGGGUUUAUAUCAACAAUGCAGUUUAUGACCUUGAUGCUGGAUCAGGACAUUUCAAUGGUAUAACUGCUGUUAAUGGUCUGUUUGUUCAAUGUUAAAGUCCCACGUGAUCUGAGUUCAGACUAUAGUCAUCCCGGUCGCUUUCUGUCUAUUAUAGAUUUCUCCCAGUACGAAAGGACAAGAGAAAUACAGCUUACUUUACAAAAUAUCUUCAAACUAAAUGAUGACAUCAUCUACAUUCAAUUAAUUUAUACACACCCUGCUGUAGAACAGGGUUUGUUAUGGUGGCAGAGCCUGUAAUUGGAUAAAACAAACCUUUAUCUGCAGUGGUUCAAGUCCUCUUCCUAAGAAUAUGUUUAUAAUCAACAUUCCUUUCACAAAUUACCCCAUUUAACUCACCAAAGCAUUCCUUAUAUUAACUGAAUGGAAAAUCCUAGGCUAUGUACAAAUCCAGAAAGGGCCAAACAUCAUCAACCCCUGUGGAUUAUUACAACCCAUUGCUGAGGCAUUCAGAUUAUUUAUUAAACAACCACUAUGACCAUCAAUAUCAUCAAUUUAUAUAUUAUUGCCCCAAUGCUAGCCUUAACCCUGGCUCUCACAACGUGAAUUCCUCUUCCCAUAUCUUAUCCACUAAUUAAUACAAAUGUAGGCACACUAUUUAUAUUAGCCAUAUCGAGCCUAGCCAUUUAUUCCAUCCUCUGAUCUGGAUGAGUUCCAGAUUCAAAAUACUCACUCGUGGAAGCUCUAUGGGCAGUAGUGCAGACAAUCUCAUAUGAGGUAAUGUUAGCAAUUAUUCUCUUCUCAGUCCUACUGAUAAAUGGAUUAUUUACACUUUCAACCAUAAUUAUUACACGAGUACCAAGACUAAUUUUCUCCUGACCCCUAACCAGAACUUGAUUAUCUCUGUACUAGCAGAAAUCCAGUGAAGCCCCACUUGAUUUAACAGAAGUAGAAUCAAAACCUGUAUUUGGCUUCAAUGUGGAAAAUAUAGCAGGCCCAUUCGCUGUGUUCUUCCUAGAGAAUAUAUCAAUGUCAUUAUAAUAAACAUUUUCACAACAAUCUAUUUUAGGACAAUCCCUAUGUGCCAGAAAUAUAAAAAAACCCAAAGUUAUCAUUAAAACACAACUAACAACCUCCUUUCUAUGAAUUUGAGCAUCCUGCCCACAAUUUUGAUAUGAUCAACUUAUACAUCUCUAAUAAAAAAAAUUUUACUACUAACCUUAGCACUAUGUAUAUGAGAAUUUUCACUACCUGCUAUCAAACCAGGCAACCCACCACAAACUUAAGAAAUAUGUCCAACAAAAGAGUUACUUUGAUAGAGUAAAUGAUAGAGGUUUAAAUGCUCUUAUUCUUGGAACUGAACUUACUUCUAAGAAUUUUACGUUCUCCAUGCUACCACAUUACACCACAUGCUAUAUAGUAAGGUCUGCUAAGUAAGCUAUCAGGCCCAUACUCACAAAAUAUUGUUGUAUAUCCUUCCUGUACUAAUAAACUCUAUUGUUUUUACUAUCAUUCUGCUGACCGUUAUCUCAGGAAACAUAGCUGUAGUAACAAGCUCACAUGGGUUAAUGGUAUCCCCAUUCUAAUAAAAAACAUGAACCCAUAAGCUAUAGAAGCAUCCAACAAAUAUUUUCUGAAACAAUCCACCAUAUCAAUACUGCUUAUAAUGGCUAUUAUCAUUAAUCUAAUAUACUCUGGUCAAGGAAGACAAUGAAUUACAAAAAUCUUUAAUCCAGUAGCAUCCACCAUCAUAACAAUAGCCCUUGUCACAAAAGUAGGACUUUCCUCAUUUCACUUCUGAGUGCCUGAAGUAACACAAGGCAUUCCAUGAACAGCGGGCCUGCGGCUAUUAACAUGACAAAAUUACACCCCAUCAGUUUUAUACGUGUCACCAUCCAUCAACCUAAACAUACUAUUAAUCAUAGUGAUACUAUGAAUCAUAACUGGAGGCUGAGGAAGACUUAGCCAUACUCACCUAGAAAAAAAUAUGGCCUCCCCAUAGAGGAUGAAUAACAGCUAUUAUAAUGUACAUUCCAAUUAUAACAAUCCUAAACAUGCUAAUUUAUAACAACACUAUCUUGUUACUAUUUAUGCCCAGAUCAUAUACUACAACAGGAUCAUCAUCACAUACAUGAGAUAAAACACCUCCUAUCACAGUCCUUAUCCUCACCAUUAUAGUAUCAUUAGGAGGUCGCCCACCACUAUCAGGGUUUUUACCCAAAUGAAUAAUUAUCCAAGAGAUAAAAAUGAUAACAUCAUUCUACCAACACUAAUAGCCAUCAUAGCAGUACUCAGCAUAUAUUUCUACUUACAGCUAACAUACUCCACAUGACUAACUAUAUUCCCUUCAAUAAACAACACAAAAAUAAAAUAAUUUGAACAUACAAAACAAAUAACCUUCUUACCAUUACUAAUGAUAAUAACCACACGAUUAUUACCCUUAACACCCAUUCUAUCAGUGUUGGGCUAGAAAUGUAGGUAAGUUUAGACCAAGAGCUUUCAAAACCCUAAACAAGUACAACUUACUUAAUUCCUAAAAAUAAGGAUUGCAAGACUCUAACCUACAUCAAUUGAAUGCAAAUCAAACAUUGUAAUUAAGCCAAAUCAUUACGAGAUUGAUGAGUUUUGACCCCAGGAAAUUUUAGUUAACAGGUAAAUCCUCUAGUCGACUGGCUUCAAUCUACUUCUCCUGCCUCCAAGAAAGAAAAAAAAAAAAGGCAGGAAAAUCACCAGCAGAAUUGAAGCUGCUUCUCUGAAGUUAAAAUUCAAUUUGUUGAUUCACCACCGGGUUUGCCAAAAAGAGGGCUCAAUCUCUGUCUUUAGAUUGACAGUCUAAUACUAGUUCAGUCAUUUUACCUCUAUUCUUAAACUGCUGAUUAUUUUCAACAAAUCACAAAGAUAUCAGCAUUUCAUGUUUACUAUUUGGUGCUUGAGCUGGAGUAGCAGGCACCACCUUAGGUCCAUUAAUCCACACUGAGCUAUGCUAACCUGCAGUGCUACUUGGAGAUGAUGAAAUCUGUAAUGUAGUCAUAACAGUCCCUGCACUUGUAAUAACUUUCUUUCUGGUUGUACCCAUUAUAAUUGCAAGGUUUGAAAACUGACUUGCCCCACUAAUAACUGGGGCACCUGUUAUAGACAUUUCCCUGAAUAAAUCAUAUAAACUUCUGACUAUUUCCCCCAUCAUUCUUACUCCUACUCCAAUCACCAAUAGUAGAAGCUGGUUCUGGUACCAGUGGAACCAUAUAUUCAGCUCUAGCCGACCUAACCAUUUUCUCUUUACAUUUAGCAGGUGUCUCUUCAAUUCUUGGUGCUAUUACUUUUAUUACUGUAGUCUUUAAUAUAAAACCAGCAGUCAUAUCCUAAUACCAAACACCAUUAUUUGUUUGGUCUGCCCCAACUAUAGCCAUAUUACUGUAAUUAUCACUCUCAGUCUGAGCACCAGCACUGCCACACUGUUAACAGAAACCUAAACACUACUUUCUCUGACCUGCAGGAGGAGACCCAAUCCUAUACCACCUAUUUUGAUUCUUUGGUCACUCUGAAGCCUGUGUUCAUAGCCUACCAGGGUUUAUUAUAAUCUCACAUAUCAUUACAUACUAUUUAGGACAAAAAGUGCCUUUCAGCUGUUUGGAAAUAGUAUGAGUCAUGUCCACUGGCUUUUUAGAAUUUAUCUUGUGAGCCCAUCAUAUGUUUACUGUAGAAUAGGUGAUGACUCAUGAGCAUACUUUGCAUCAGCUACCAUAAUUAUUUCUGUCCCUACAGGUGUAAAAGUAUUUAGCUGAUUAACAACUCUUCACAGGGGUAAUGUUAUGUGACCUCCCACUGUAUCAUGAGCUUUAGGCUUUAUUUUUCUUUUCACAAUAGGUGGUUUGACAGGAAUCGUCUUAGCCAAUUCAUCUCCAGACAUUGUCCUCCACAAUACACACUCUGCAGUAGCACACUUCCAUGGCAUAAUGUCCAUGGGAGCAAUCUGUGUGGGACCUCAGGCCAUGUAGAACAAGGCACGUGUCCAGGACCAUCUCACCACUGUUGUUUUGCCCAUUCAGUUUUCUCUCCUGUGAAAUGCUGUUCAUGACUGGCCCUGUUUUCUGCUGGGCUGUGUAUUAUUAGGACAUAUGUAUGGCUGUUGAUUGUUGGAUUAAUUUACAUAUGUGUGUGUUUACAUCAACAUAUAUGUAGGUUGAUGUAUAUAUAUACAUAUGAUGUAUAUGUGUAUAUAUAUAUAUGUGGAUACAUAAUGUCAUGUAUCCACGAUUAUGGUAUCAUACAGAGUAUUUCUCUGCUCUAAAAAUCCUCUGUGCUCUGCCUGUUGGAUGCCCUCAGCCCCUGACAACACCACCCUCUUAUUGUCUCUGUAAUCUGCCGUCCCCAACAUGUGAUUUUUUUGGAAUCCCACAGGAUGUAGCGUCUCAGACCACCUUCUUGUUCUUUGUUUAUUUGAAAUUGUCUUUUCAUUCCACAUCACUCAGAGAAUGUUAUUCUAGUGCAAUGGACUUUGAUGCCUAAAAGUCUCAUUGAUUACCCAGCAUAUCUAUGCUUAUAAAUAAUUAAAUUUUUGUUUUAUUUACUAUGACCAUAGAGUUCUAAGGGUUAAAUUUUUUCAGAAUUAUUAUUACAGUUAUAAGUAGUUCUAACUCAUUAAAACAGUAUAUAUAUGAUUAACCAUUUUAAUAAUUACUAAACAAAGAUAAAUGCUUAUUUGAAACAUCUUUUAAUAGAAUGAAUGUAACUGUUACCACGUGGAGCUAAAUUGGAACCCAUGUUAGAUCUGUUUCUUUGACUUUUGUUACUGUAAUCAUACAUGAUGGCCUGCCUCCGGGAACACUGCCCCUCUGCCUGAAUGUUGAACUCAAGUGCCUCUGUUCAGGCCACCGGUGGACAAUCUGCCCUGCCCACCUGUGUGAAUGGCUGAAAUUAAUAUAUCCCCUCACUGAGGCUGGGUAUUCCCGAAGAUCUUUUGUAAGACUGAUGGCCCUUUAACUUUACUUCCCCACAGCCCCUCCCUCUCUGGCUCUAUAAAACAAACUAGCAUCCAGACCCCAAUAAGAUGGUUUUUUGAGGAGACACUAGUCUUCCAUCUUCUCAGUUUGCUGGCUUUCUGAAUAAAGUCGUAUUCUUUGCCUCAACACCUCAUCUCCGAUGCAUUGGCCUGUCGUGUGGCGAGUAGAAUGAGCUUGGACAUAACUUUUCCCUUUUAUUUUUAUAUGUAUUCAAGGAUGACCAUGAUUAAUUUCCAGGAAGAGAAAAAAUUCAAUACUUAGAUCUAUUCCUAGUUUGUAUUUUUUAGAUAUUAGCACUGAUAUUAUCUUUUUCAGAUAAGAGUGGGAGUUUUGUUACAAAAAUUUCACAUUCUUUCAAUUCCUUCCCAAUUACAUACCCAAAUAUUACACAAGAGGUCUGGUCACCUAUCAGCUGACAAUACGAUUAGCUUUUUUUUCAAUCUUAUUGAAAGCAAACCAUGGGAAACUUUCAAGAGGAUUUAUGAGAGUCACUUUUCAGUGUCUGGGAAGCAGGACAAAGGCUUCACCAGGCUCAGCAACUAAGCAACUGUUGAUUUGACCAGCUACUCUUUCACUGAGAAAGUCUUGCUUAACCUGAUGGUCUGGGAAAGUUGCGACACUCUCUCUCUUAUUCUGCCUUUGUACACAUGGUAUUUUAUUUUAAUAAAUGGCUC